rnacentral:rRNA from 1 species
CAGUAGCCGCGGGAAUACCGAGGGUGCGAGCGUUAAUCGGAUUUACUGGGCGUAAAGCGUGCGUAGGCGGCUUCUUAAGUCGGAUGUGAAAUCCCUGAGCUUAACUUAGGAAUUGCAUUCGAUACUGGGAAGCUAGAGUAUGGGAGAGGAUGGUAGAAUUCCAGGUGUAGCGGUGAAAUGCGUAGAGAUCUGGAGGAAUACCGAUGGCGAAGGCAGCCAUCUGGCCUAAUACUGACGCUGAGGUACGAAAGCAUGGGGAGCAAACAGGAUUAGAUACCCCCGUAGUCCCUGUCUCUUAUAA